rnacentral:lncRNA from 1 species
GCAUUAGAGAUAGGUUUUAUUUGCUCUUCUCAAGUAGCUAGAUGACAUUCUACUUGGAAUAAUACAAAAUUGGAUUACAUAUGUGCAUAUAUAUUCUGAAUUCUGUGAUUCAUUAAGGAGUUAAAAGAAAAAGUUAAGCCCUCUAAUUGAGGAACUAAUUUAGUAUUUUAAUUUUACAGUUGAAAAGAUGAUAUAAAGAAAUAAAAUAUAAACAACCUUAACUACAGAGAACAUUUUGAAAAUUGUUAAGGGAAAAACUGAAAUUAUCAAUAUCAAUUAAGAAUUUCUGGCAUGCCCAUUUAUUCAACAUAUUGGGUAACUGUAUCAU